CACCGUAGAGCUGGUGAAUUCCUGUACUGAACAAGAAGCCAUUUUAACAUCAUCUCUUUCUUCUGCGAGGCUGGGCUUCUCAUCUGGAUGUCUGAAGCUGGGAAGAGAGGUUCUCAUGGCCACUGGGGUGAAUGAGAGCCACUGCAACCCUGCGCUGGAGCAAAUCAAUCUCCUAGCUGCCAAGGCAUCGCAGUGACAUCUCUCUGCAAUACACCAGCAAAUGGAAAAUCCCUUCCCACAGACAAUUCUGCUGUUUUGAACAUUUUUACAUCCUGAAUGAAGAUGAAAAGUCAAAUCUGAUUUUUUGAAGGGGAAGUGAUUUCCAGAAAAUUCAGUUUCAGAAGAACCAAAAUGGAAGGCUGUCAUCAACUUCACUUCCCUCAGGGGGGCAGCUGGGGAGCUAUAGUUUCAAUUGUCUCGAUGGAAAAUGAGGCUUUUUCAGUAAAACUGAAAUGCUCCCCCAGGGAAGUUUUGAAGGUGUGAAAAGAAUGUUUUCCAUCAGAAAAUCAUUCCAAUGGCAAAUUCCCAGCCAACUCUAAUCUAUAUCCAUAUACAGCCUCCAAAGUGGAACAUUUUGAUCACAGAGAAUGUAAAAUCGUAUUUUUCACGAGUGGCUUUCACCGUUUGAUGGAUGCAAGCUGCUGGGUGUCCCACACUGAAGGGCCAAACACCAGGAGAAGACCCACUAGAAAGCAGCAUGUAUAGGGCAUAGCUACUAAAUGUGUACAGUCUCUCGGAACUCCCUGGAAAAUGGCUAAUCCCGAUCUCUUUCCAACAACAAGAACUAGUCCUUCUCUUAGGGUUUGACAAUGGCUAUCGUGGGAAUCAUAUGAUGGGGAGAAGUGAGGGUCUCUGAUUGCGGAGGGGGGUAGGUUGGGGCUACUGGGAGGAGCCAAUUCUGCCUCAUCUGCCCCUUCUCGGGACUCCUCAUGUCUAGUGUAUGGGCCACACUGCUGGGUCCUGCCCUCUCCCCAGUCCUAGGAGGCAUAAUGGGGAAGGGCAGCAUGGUGAGAUUGGGAUCCAGGAGGCACCAGCACUGAUGUGGCCAGAUGAGGGACACAGGCAGGGAGGGGGCAGGGAGGCUGUGUGUGAGCUCAGAGGGUAGGAGUCUGCUCCAGCAUGCCUGGGGGAGGAAGAAGGGCAGGGGAGGGCUGGCUGAGGGCAUUAAAGGCAUCUCCUCUUGGAGCAGCAGAGAAGAGAAGUGACAGGAUUUGACCAUCAUUUCAAACAGCAGUUCUGGAAGCAAUGA